UACACUCCUGCGGGAGGCAGCAGUGGGGAAUUUUGGACAAUGGGCGAAAGCCUGAUCCAGCAAUGCCGCGUGAGUGAAGAAGGCCUUCGGGUUGUAAAGCUCUUUUGUCAGGGAAGAAACGGUGAAAGCUAAUAUCUUUUGCUAAUGACGGUACCUGAAGAAUAAGCACCGGCUAACUACGUGCCAGCAGCCGCGGUAAUACGUAGGGUGCAAGCGUUAAUCGGAAUUACUGGGCGUAAAGCGUGCGCAGGCGGUUUUGUAAGUCUGAUGUGAAAUCCCCGGGCUCAACCUGGGAAUUGCAUUGGAGACUGCAAGGCUAGAAUCUGGCAGAGGGGGGUAGAAUUCCACGUGUAGCAGUGAAAUGCGUAGAUAUGUGGAGGAACACCGAUGGCGAAGGCAGCCCCCUGGGUCAAGAUUGACGCUCAUGCACGAAAGCGUGGGGAGCAAACAGGAUUAGAACCCCAGUAGUCCC
rnacentral:rRNA from 1 species